UAAAAUAGCAAAUGAAAAUUCGGAAAUAAAUCCACUGACAAGAAAAUCUUUACAAGAUUAUUAUUGGCAGAUAAGGCCCUCUCAUAUUUAGCUUCAGAACUUGAAGAAACAGAUACUAAAGGAAUAAAGCCAAUUACCUUGAUGCCUCAAAUUUCUUUCACUGCAGAA
rnacentral:lncRNA from 1 species